rnacentral:rRNA from 1 species
GACUCGUCACACUAUCAUUAACUGAAUCCAUAGGUUAAUGAGGCGAACCGGGGGAACUGAAACAUCUAAGUACCCCGAGGAAAAGAAAUCAACCGAGAUUCCCCCAGUAGCGGCGAGCGAACGGGGAGGAGCCCAGAGCCUGAAUCAGCAUGUGUGUUAGUGGAAGCGUCUGGAAAGGCGCGCGAUACAGGGUGACAGCCCCGUACACAAAAGCGCAUGUGCUGUGAGCUCGAUGAGUAGGGCGGGACACGUGGUAUCCUGUCUGAAUAUGGGGGGACCAUCCUCCAAGGCUAAAUACUCCUGACUGACCGAUAGUGAACCAGUACCGUGAGGGAAAGGCGAAAAGAACCCCGGCGAGGGGAGUGAAAAAGAACCUGAAACCGUGUACGUACAAGCAGUGGGAGCACCCUUUGGGGUGUGACUGCGUACCUUUUGUAUAAUGGGUCAGCGACUUAUAUUCUGUAGCAAGGUUAACCGUAUAGGGGAGCCGUAGGGAAACCGAGUCUUAACCGGGCGUUAAGUUGCAGGGUAUAGACCCGAAACCCGGUGAUCUAGCCAUGGGCAGGUUGAAGGUUGGGUAACACUAACUGGAGGACCGAACCGACUAAUGUUGAAAAAUUAGCGGAUGACCUGUGGCUGGGGGUGAAAGGCCAAUCAAACCGGGAGAUAGCUGGUUCUCCCCGAAAGCUAUUUAGGUAGCGCCUCGUGAAUUCAUCUCCGGGGGUAGAGCACUGUUUCGGCUAGGGGGCCAUCCCGGCUUACCAACCCGAUGCAAACUGCGAAUACCGGAGAAUGUUAUCACGGGAGACACACGGCGGGUGCUAACGUCCGUCGUGAAGAGGGAAACAACCCAGACCGCCAGCUAAGGUCCCAAAGUCAUGGUUAAGUGGGAAACGAUGUGGGAAGGCCCAGACAGCCAGGAUGUUGGCUUAGAAGCAGCCAUCAUUUAAAGAAAGCGUAAUAGCUCACUGGUCGAGUCGGCCUGCGCGGAAGAUGUAACGGGGCUAAACCAUGCACCGAAGCUGCGGCAGCGAACGUAUCACCCAAGACAACUUUACGGAGUUGACGAUUGACGGAGCGAAGCGACGUCAAAGCGUUCAUUAAAGUCGAGUUGGCUUAGGGAUACGUUCGUUGGGUAGGGGAGCGUUCUGUAAGCCUGUGAAGGUGUGUCGUGAGGCAUGCUGGAGGUAUCAGAAGUGCGAAUGCUGACAUAAGUAACGAUAAAGCGGGUGAAAAGCCCGCUCGCCGGAAGACCAAGGGUUCCUGUCCAACGUUAAUCGGGGCAGGGUGAGUCGACCCCUAAGGCGAGGCCGAAAGGCGUAGUCGAUGGGAAACGGGUUAAUAUUCCCGUACUUGGUGUUACUGCGAAGGGGGGACGGAGAAGGCUAUGUUGGCCGGGCGACGGUUGUCCCGGUUUAAGCGUGUAGGUGUGUGUUCCAGGUAAAUCCGGUUCACUUUAACACUGAGGCGUGA